rnacentral:rRNA from 1 species
GUGUCAGCCGCCGCGGUAAGACAGAGGCGGCGAGCGUUGCCCGGAUUCACUGGGCGUAAAGGGCGCCUAGGCGGUCGCGUGUGCCACCGGUGAAAUUUCUCCGCUUAACGGGGAAACGCCCGGUGUGACUGCGCGGCUAGAGUAUUGGAGAGGGAAGUGGAACGACUAGAGUAGCGGUGAAAUGCGCAGAUACUAGUCGGUACCUCAAUAGCGAAGGCAACUUCCUGGCCAGUCACUGACGCUGACGCGCGAAAGCGUGGGGAGCAAACCGGAUUAGAAACCCUAGUAGUCC